UGACUGAGCGUGGCACAAGGCAGCACCACUGCAGAGGUGGGGGCUUGAUCGACAGCCAGCCUGGUGGACUGCUGAUGUGUCAGACCAGGCCCCAGCUUCCCAGCAAGGGAUCCCUUCCUCCCUUCGCCCGGGACACCUUUCAGGUGGCAAAACAGCUAAGACAAUCCGCWCCUCUCACCAUGGGCUCCAGCAUGCCAGUGUAGAGCUGGGGGCAAAUGAACGUGGCCUGCUGGGAACAUGAGUGCUGUGCUGAGCUUGCUUCUGUCUGUCACCAGCUGCACCCUGCUCUGGGAACUUCUCCCUGGACCAAGGCAGAUACCUGUUGGGGGAACAGCAGCAGCUCGUCCUGGACUUGUGAGCUAUAUUUUGAAGAUAUCCAUGAUAUCUACUGGGCAAGAGUGAGAGCGGUGGAUGGAGACAAACUGUCCAAGUGGGUCUCUUCUAGUGAACUGCAGCCAUACAGAGACACAGUUGUCGGUCCUCCCGAGCUGUCCUGGCUGCUCCAAGGUCACAUCCUUAGCAUAAAAAUCAUCAUGCCACUCACUCCAUACCAAAGUAAAAAUGGCUCUUACAAGCCCAUCAACAAAGUGCUGCGGAAACUGUGGUACCGGCUGAACCUUUAUGAAAAGGAUGUAUUCAUCCAGCAAGUUCCCUGUGAACAGAGGGGCAAGGAAGCCUCUUGCAUGUUCAGGUACUUGAAACCAAGCACCCAAUACUGUGUCCGGACUGUGACGGUGGGCAUGCCCAGGGAGCAGAGCAGGGAGGCUGCACAGUGCAUCACAACAUCAGCCACCCCUGGAGACUUUCCCUGGGUCCUCCUCGCCGUACUGAGUGCCGUCUUGCUGGUGCUGUUUGUGGCCGGGCUCUGCUUCCUCAGGCUGUAUGUGUUCCUGAGACCCUCAGAGACGCGCAUCCCGAACUCGCUUGCUAUUUUAAAUGAAGAGCUGACUCUGAACAUCAGGGUGCCCACCCUUGAACUUGAGGGGGACUCAUCCACUUUGAUCUCACUGGUUGUGCUUCCCUCCCAUGGACCAUCUGCAGCUGAGCAGAAAAAGCCCCAAGUCCAGCUGUUCUUUGGAGAAAGCUUUUCCCAGGAGAUGGCUGGCUACUGUGCCAAUGGAUUUAGGCCAGACUGGCCCGAAAGCGAGGCCCUGUCCUUUGCCCCCAGCCAGCUGGAGCAUGUCUUGGACUCUGGGGCCUCCUCACCCCUGGAGGGGCUGGAGGAGGGCAGGGAAGGGGAUAAUGUGUCGGCUUUGCCAGCCCAGCUGCCCAGUGGCUCAUGGGCAUGUCUGGAGCAGCCUGUGCUGGUGGAACUGAAUGACGACAGUUACAGGGGUGACGAAGACUACCAGACAUCUGAGAUGUGGCUUUCCUUGCACCUCCAGCUUUAUUCUAAAUGCCAAUGCCCACUCUUGGGAACAGGCAGCAGCAUCUCUCUGACUCCACAAGGCACAAGUUUCAGCCAAGAGGACCUAAAGGAGAGCCUUGGCAUGACAGAACCCUGCUGCCAGUCCUGGGUACCACUCAGCUCUGUGAAGCUGCCAGCUGACGAGGAGGACAGAGACCAGCUCUUCCCUGCUCUCUGUCACCUGCAUGGCCAUGGGGCCAAGCCAGAGUUAGGUGACAGAGACUCACAGCAGAGUGACUUGGACCAGGCAACACUGGGCUGGCAAGGUGUCCCUCUCCCCAGUUCCUGUGAAGUGCCCUAUUCACCCCUCGACAUCCUGCAGGCAACCACAUCCUCCGGCUAUGAGAUACAUCCCCUGGUCACCGAUGAGCCCUAG
rnacentral:lncRNA from 1 species